rnacentral:lncRNA from 1 species
AUGUCAACGGGUGGGAUUCGAGAUGAAUUUUCAGAAACCAUCCGAAUCCGACUCCAAACUCAAAAUCCGAACCUGAACCCAAUAGAUUUUAGAAAUUCAUGUCCAAACCCGAACCCGACCAAAAAUCUAAAAUCCGAACUCAAAUCCGAACCCAAAAAUUCCAACCCGAAACAAUUAUUUCUCUUUCAAUAUUUAAAAAUAUAUUAAAUUAAAUUUAAAUUUUUAAAAUACAAAUUGAAAUAUCCGAAAAUUCAUAUCCGAAUUCAUAUCCGUCGGGUUUUUGUUUUUGAUUCGAAUAAAAUUUUAGAUAUUUUAACCGGUUGA